GUAGGGAAUAUUGGACAAUGGGGGGAACCCUGAUCCAGCAUGCCGCGUGGAGGAAGACUGCCCUCUGGGUUGUAAACUCCUUUUAUAUGGGAAGAACCGUCCUCAUUAAUGAGUGACCUGACGGUACCAUAGGAAUAAGCACCGGCUAACUCCGUGCCAGCAGCCGCGGUAAUACGGAGGGUGCAAGCGUUAUCCGGAUUCACUGGGUUUAAAGGGUGCGUAGGCGGAUAAAUAAGUCAGUGGUGAAAUCAACGGGCUCAACCUGUUAACUGCCAUUGAUACUGUGUAUCUUGAAUAUGAGAGAGGUAGGCGGAAUGUUGCAUGUAGCGGUGAAAUGCUUAGAUAUGCUACGGAACACCGAUUGCGAAGGCAGCUUACUAUUUCGUAAUUGACGCUGAGGCACGAAAGCGUGGGUAGCGAACAGGAUUAGAUACCCGGGUAGUCC
rnacentral:rRNA from 1 species